UCCGACCAUUCAAUCCAUUCCAUCUGUUAUCCUUCUCGAUAAAAUAGCCGUGUGUGGGGACACGGUCGGCCUUAGCCAAAAUAUAAUAUUUUCCUUUCCAUAACUCCCACAUUUUCUGUAGUCCACCAAAACACUUUUAGUGCUGUCAACCGACACCCGGUUAUUUUCCAAUUAUCAAUCAAAGAUUAUUCCAUUAAAGAAUAAUUCCCAAUUUCACAAAU
rnacentral:lncRNA from 1 species